UACGUAGGGGGCAAGCGUUGUCCGGAAUCAUUGGGCGUAAAGCGCGUGUAGGCGGCCUUGUAAGUCCGUUCUGAAAGUCCGGGGCUCAACCCCGGGAGGCGGAUGGAUACUGCAAGGCUCGAGUCCGGAAGAGGCGAGUGGAAUUCCCGGUGUAGCGGUGAAAUGCGCAGAUAUCAGGAGGAACACCUGUGGCGAAAGCGGCUCACUGGACCAUAACUGACGCUGAUGCACGAAAGCUAGGGGAGCAAACAGG
rnacentral:rRNA from 1 species